GACGAACGCUGGCGGCGUGCUUAACACAUGCAAGUCGAGCGGUAAGGCCCUUUCGGGGGUACGACGAGCGGCGAACGGGUGAGUAACACGUGGGUGACCUGCCCUCAGCUCUGGGAUAAGCCUGGGAAACCGGGUCUAAUACUGGAUAUGACUCCAUGACGCAUGUUGUGGGGUGGAAAGCCUUGUGCGGCUGAGGAUGGGCCCGCGGCCUAUCAGCUUGUUGGUGGGGUGAUGGCCUACCAAGGCGACGACGGUAGCCGGCCUGAGAGGGCGACCGGCCACACUGGGACUGAGACACGGCCCAGACUCCUACGGGAGGCAGCAGUGGGGAAUCUUGCGCAAUGGGCGAAAGCCUGACGCAGCGACGCCGCGUGAGGGAUGACGGCC
rnacentral:rRNA from 1 species